AAGGGGCUAGUUUAAAAAGAACAUUUGAUUUCGGCUCAGACAGACCCAGUUUAACCCCGGGGCCCUUAA
rnacentral:tRNA from 1 species